rnacentral:rRNA from 1 species
GUGCACGCUGGCGGUAGGCCUAACACAUGCAAGUCGCACGGCAGCACAGUAAGAGCUUGCUCUUACGGGUGGCGAGUGGCGGACGGGUGAGGAAUACAUCGGAAUCUACUUUUUCGUGGGGGAUAACGUAGGGAAACUUACGCUAAUACCGCAUACGACCUACGGGUGAAAGCAGGGGAUCUUCGGACCUUGCGCGAUUGAAUGAGCCGAUGUCGGAUUAGCUAGUUGGCGGGGUAAAGGCCCACCAAGGCGACGAUCCGUAGCUGGUCUGAGAGGAUGAUCAGCCACACUGGAACUGAGACACGGUCCAGACUCCUACGGGAGGCAGCAGCGGGGAAUAUUGGACAAUGGGCGCAAGCCUGAUCCAGCCAUACCGCGUGGGUGAAGAAGGCCUUCGGGUUGUAAAGCCCUUUUGUUGGGAAAGAAAAGCAGCAGGUUAAUACCCCGCUGUUCUGACGGUACCCAAAGAAUAAGCACCGGCUAACUUCGUG